rnacentral:rRNA from 1 species
UAAGACAGAGGGGGCAAGCGUUGCUCGGAAUUACUGGGCGUAAAGGGCGUGUAGGCGGGAUGGCAAGUCGGUCGUGAAAGCCUUCGGCUCAACCGAAGAAGUGCGUCCGAUACUGCCAUUCUUGAGGGUUGGAGAGGAGACUGGAAUUCCCGGUGUAGCGGUGAAAUGUGUAGAGAUCGGGAGGAACACCGGUGGCGAAGGCGGGUCUCUGGCCAAUUCCUGACGCUGAGGCGCGAAAGCGUGGGGAGCAAACGGGAUUAGAUACCCCGGUAGUCCACGCUGUAAACGAUGACGACUAGGUGUGGGGGGGUCAGUCCCUUCCGUGCCGCAGCUAACGCAUUAAGUCGUCCGCCUGGGGAGUACGGCCGCAAGGUUGAAACUUAAAUGAAUUGACGG